rnacentral:lncRNA from 1 species
AUGCUCGCACCCGCGCGCGCGCGCGGUCGCUGCCUUCCCACCAGGCUCCGGCGGAGCGACCCGAGGAGGGAAGGGGAAGGCCAGCGGCGGCGCGAAGGAGGGGGCCAGGGAACGGCGAGGAAGCCCCUAACAAAGCAGCCCUGGGAGGGCCGAGAGGCCUCCGCCUCCUUCCUCCAUAGGUCCGCGAUGCUGCCUGUUAUUGUGCAUAGGUGGAGGUGGCCAAUGACGUGGAGAGAAGGCGCUCGGGUUGGCGGGCGCGCGCGCGGCUCGCCAUCGGUGGGAUUGGUCCGAGGUAAAGGCUUUUCCUGCCACCUAAGGCGGAGAGNNNNNNNNNNNNNGGGAGGGGAAGAGCCCACUCCCCCAGAAAAAAAGAAAGAAAAGUUGUACCUGCGACACGUGGUCUGGCCUAGGAGGCGUGUGCCUGACUCAUGGAGGAGACGGGAACUUUUAUACGAGAGGAAGAAAAAAAACCCUAACGUAAUCCCUUCCUGUGGAUGCUGGAGGUGUUAGACGCUAACCAAGCUCCAGGUUGUGAGGAAAGACAACACCCGGACGCCGGCAGUCAAAGGAAAUGUCUUCCCCACUCCCGCCUGUGCUUCCUCCUUAUCUUAAGAGCUUUGGACACCGCCGUUAAGAACAAAGACCAGAGCUGAAUAUUCCUUACUACCUGGUUCAGAGGACCCAUUUGCCCUGAGGGAGUAGGGAGGCCUGUGUUCC